CCUACGGGAGGCAGCAGUAAGGAAUAUUGGUCAAUGGGGGCAACCCUGAACCAGCCAUGCCGCGUGCAGGAUGAAGGCCCUAUGGGUCGUAAACUGCUUUUAUACCGGAGAAAACCCCCGUACGUGUACGGGGUUGAUAGUAUGGUAAGAAUAAGCAUCGGCUAACUUCGUGCCAGCAGCCGCGGUAAGACGAAGGAUGCAAGCGUUAUCCGGAUUCAUUGGGUUUAAAGGGUGCGUAGGCGGACCUGUAAGUCAGUGGUGAAAUCUCUUUGCUUAACAAAGAAACUGCCAUUGAUACUGCAAGUCUAGAGUAUAGAUGACGUUGGCGGAAUAUGACAUGUAGUGGUGAAAUACUUAGAUAUGUCAUAGAACACCGAUUGCGAAGGCAGCUAACGAAACUAUAACUGACGCUGAGGCACGAAAGUGCGGGGAUCAAACAGGAUUAGAUACCCUGGUAGUCCGCACCGUAAACGAUGAUUACUCGUUGUUGGCAAUAUGACCGUCAGCGACCAAGCGAAAGCGAUAAGUAAUCCACCUGGGGAGUACGCCGGCAACGGUGAAACUCAAAAGAUAGUACGGACGNGNGAGAGCGACGACGACGACGAGGAGGAGGAGG
rnacentral:rRNA from 1 species